UGGGGCAUCGUCAAGCGGUAAGACACCAGAUUUUGGUUCUGGCAUCCGGGGGUUCGAAUCCUCCUGCCCCAGCCA
rnacentral:tRNA from 1 species